GCAUAUCAAUAAGCGGAGGAAAAGAAACCAACAGGGAUUACCUCAGUAACGGCGAGUGAAGCGGUAAAAGCUUCAAAUUUGAAAUCUGGCUCUUUUAGAGUCCGAAUUGUAAUUUGUAGAAGAUGCUUCGGGUGUGGUUCCGGUCUAAGUUCCUUGGAACAGGACGUCAUAGAGGGUGAGAAUCCCGUAUGUGACUGGAUACCUAUGCUCAUGUGAAGCUCUUUCGACGAGUCGAGUUGUUUGGGAAUGCAGCUCAAAAUGGGAGGUAUAUUUCUUCUAAAGCUAAAUAUUGGCCAGAGACCGAUAGCGCACAAGUAGAGUGAUCGAAAGAUGAAAAGCACUUUGGAAAGAGAGUUAAACAGUACGUGAAAUUGUUGAAAGGGAAGCGCUUGCAAUCAGACUUGCACUUGGUGUUCAUCAGGGUCUCGUACCCUGUGUACUUCAUCAAGUUCAGGCCAGCAUCAGUUUGAGUGGUUAGAUAAAGGCUUAGAGAAUGUGGCCCUCUUCGGGGGGUGUUAUAGCUCUAGGUGCAAUGUAGCCUACUUGGACUGAGGACCGCGCUUCGGCUAGGAUGCUGGCGUAAUGGUUGUAAGCGACCCGUCUUGAAACACGGACCAAGGAGUGUACCUAAUAUGCGAGUGUUUGGGUGUUAAACCCAUACGCGUAAUGAAAGUGAACGCUGGUGAGAACCCUUAAGGGUGCAUCAUCGACCGAUCUUGAUGUCUUCGGAUGGAUUUGAGUAAGAGCAUAUUGGGUGCGACCCGAAAGAUGGUGAUCUAUACGUGAAUAGGGYGAACGCCAGAGGAAACUCUGGUGGAGGCUCGCAGCGGUUCUGACGYGCAAAUCGAUCGUCAACAUUUGCGYAUAGGGGCGAAAGACUAAUCGAACCAUCUAGUAGCUGGUUCCUGCGA
rnacentral:rRNA from 1 species